UUAAGUUAUUAAGGGCGCAUGGUGGAUGCCUUGGCACUAGGAGCCGAUGAAGGACGUGACUAACUGCGAUAAGCUUCGGGGAGUUGUAAGUAAACUGUGAUCCGGAGAUUUCCGAAUGGGGAAACCCAGCAGGAGUAAAGACCUGUUAUCACUGAGUGAAUACAUAGCUCAGUUGAAGGUAGACGUGGGGAACUGAAACAUCUAAGUACCCAUAGGAAGAGAAAGAAAAUUCGAUUCCCUGAGUAGCGGCGAGCGAAAAGGGAACAGCCCAAACCAGAGAGCUUGCUCUCUGGGGUUGUAGGACUGGACAUUUGAGUUACCAAGAAACGAAGUAGUUGAAUGAUUUGGGAAGAUCAGCCAGAGAAGGUGAUAGCCCUGUAAGCGAAACUUCGUUUCCUCAGCCCAGUAUCCUGAGUACGGCGGAACACGUGAAACUCCGUCGGAAUCCGGGAGGACCAUCUCCCAAGGCUAAAUACUCCCUAGUGACCGAUAGUGAACCAGUACCGUGAGGGAAAGGUGAAAAGCACCCCGGGAGGGGAGUGAAAUAGUUCCUGAAACCAUGUGCCUACAAGUAGUCAGAGCCCGUUAAUGGGUGAUGGCGUGCCUUUUGUAGAAUGAACCGGCGAGUUACGUUAGCGUGCGAGGUUAAGGCGCAAAGGCCGGAGCCGUAGCGAAAGCGAGUCUGAAUAGGGCGAAUGAGUACGUUGACGUAGACCCGAAACCAGGUGACCUACCCAUGUCCAGGUUGAAGGUGCGGUAAGACGCACUGGAGGACCGAACCCGUGUAUGUUGAAAAAUGCUGGGAUGAGGUGUGGGUAGAGGUGAAAUUCCAAACGAACUUGGAGAUAGCUGGUUCUCUCCGAAAUAGCUUUAGGGCUAGCCUCGGAGUUAAGGAUCGUGGAGGUAGAGCACUGUUUGGACUAGGGGCCCGUCUUGGGUUACUGAAUUCAGAUAAACUCCGAAUGCCACAGAUCUAUAUCCGGGAGUCAGACUGCGAGUGAUAAGAUCCGUAGUCGAAAGGGAAACAGCCCAGACCACCGAUUAAGGUCCCUAAAUAUGUGUUAAGUGGAAAAGGAUGUGGAAUUGCACAGACAACUAGGAUGUUGGCUUAGAAGCAGCCACCAUUUAAAGAGUGCGUAAUAGCUCACUAGUCGAGUGAUCCUGCGCCGAAAAUGUAACGGGGCUAAACACAUUACCGAAAUCGUGGAUGCAACUAUGUUGCAUGGUAGGAGAGCGUUCUAAGGGCGAUGAAGCUAGACCGUAAGGACUGGUGGAGCGCUUAGAAGUGAGAAUGCCGGUAUGAGUAGCGAAAGAUCAGUGAGAAUCUGGUCCACCGUAUGACUAAGGUUUCCUGGGGAAGGCUCGUCCUCCCAGGGUUAGUCGGGACCUAAGCCGAGGCCGAGAGGCGUAGGCGAUGGAUAACAGGUUGAGAUUCCUGUACUGGUUUGAUUUGUUUGAACGAUGGAGGGACGCAGGAGGCUAGAGAUGCGUGCUGUUGGAUAUGCACGUCCAAGCAACAAGUCUGAUGAUGAGUCAAAUGCUUAUCGUCUUAAGGACAAGUUGUGACGGGGAGCGAAAUUAAAGUAGCGAAGUGAUCGAUGUCACACUGCCGAGAAAAGCUUCUAGUUAGGAUCAGACCACCCGUACCGCAAACCGACACAGGUAGUCGAGGCGAGUAGCCUAAGGUGAGCGAGAGAACUCUCGUUAAGGAACUCGGCAAAAUGACCCCGUAACUUCGGGAGAAGGGGUGCUGCACAAUGUGCAGCCGCAGUGAAUAGGCCCAGGCGACUGUUUAUCAAAAACACAGGUUUCUGCAAAAUCGUAAGAUGAAGUAUAGGGGCUGACGCCUGCCCGGUGCUGGAAGGUUAAGAGGAUGGGUUAGCGUAAGCGAAGCUCAGAAUUGAAGCCCCAGUAAACGGCGGCCGUAACUAUAACGGUCCUAAGGUAGCGAAAUUCCUUGUCGGGUAAGUUCCGACCCGCACGAAAGGCGUAACGAUCUGGGCACUGUCUCAACGAGAGACUCGGUGAAAUUAUAAUACCCGUGAAGAUGCGGGUUACCCGCGACAGGACGGAAAGACCCCAUGGAGCUUUACUGUAGCUUGAUAUUGGGUGUUUGUACAACUUGUACAGGAUAGGUAGGAGCCGUAGAAGUCGGAACGCUAGUUUCGAUCGAGGCGCUGGUGGGAUACUACCCUCGUUGUAUGAACACUCUAACCCUCGUCGCUUAUCGCGGCGGGAGACAGUGUCAGGUGGGCAGUUUGACUGGGGCGGUCGCCUCCUAAAAGGUAACGGAGGCGCCCAAAGGUUCCCUCAGAAUGGUUGGAAAUCAUUCGCAGAGUGUAAAGGCAUAAGGGAGCUUGACUGCGAGACCUACAAGUCGAGCAGGGACGAAAGUCGGGCUUAGUGAUCCGGUGGUUCCGCAUGGAAGGGCCAUCGCUCAACGGAUAAAAGCUACCCUGGGGAUAACAGGCUUAUCUCCCCCAAGAGUCCACAUCGACGGGGAGGUUUGGCACCUCGAUGUCGGCUCAUC
rnacentral:rRNA from 1 species